rnacentral:lncRNA from 1 species
UUAAACCCUAAACCCCGAAACAUCAACUCUAAACCCUAAACCCUAAACUUCAACUCUAAACCCUAAACCAUCAACACUAAACCCUAAACUAUCAACACUAAACCCUAAACCCUAAAAAGUAAACUCUAAACCCUAAACCCUAAAAAAUUAACCAUAAACCCUAAAACAUCAACUCUAAACCCUAAACCCUAAACCCUAGGGUUUAGGGUUUAGAGUUGAUGUUUCGGGGUUCAAGGUUUAGAGUUGAUGUUUCAUGGUUCAGGGUUUAGAGUUGAUGAUUUAGGGUUUAAAGUUGAUGUUUUAAGUUUAGAUUUAGGGUUUAGGGUUUACGUUUAGGGUUUAGAGUUGAUGUUUCAGGGUUUAGGUUUUAGAGUUGAUCUUUCUUGGUUUAGGGUUUAGAGUUGAUGAUUUAAUGUUUAGAGUUAAUGUUUUAACUUUAGAUUAGUUAACCAUAUGUUUUUUGUCAAAGUUACUGAAAAAGUUAUAAAUGUCUUUUAUCCUUCAUUAAAGAUGAGGUAAAAGUGGUU